CACAAUCUCAAUCCACAUCACCCAAAAAAAACUUGAAACCAAAAACCAGUAAACUUGCAGAAAAAUGGAGGGUAUUAUUCCAUGCCAAGAAGGGUCAGCAGAAAUUGUGUUUUUCGACAUAGAAACUACAGUACCCAACAGAACCGGACAAAGGUUCUGUGUAUUGGAGUUUGGUGCCAUUGUAGUAUGUCCAAGGAACCUGGUUGAGCUAGAGAGUUAUAGUACCUUGAUAAAGCCCAAGGACUUGUCUGUUGUUGCAUUGAGGUCUGGCAGGUCUGAUGGGAUAACUAGAGAUGCUGUUGCAAACGCACCUGGAUUUGAAGAAGUUGCCGACAAAAUAUUCAACCUUUUGAAUGGUAGGGUUUGGGGGGGUCAUAACAUUCAGAGAUUCGAUUGUGUUCGUAUUAGGGAGGCCUUUGCUGACAUUGGUAGACCACCUCCUGUACCUGUUGGGAUCAUUGAUUCUUUAGGUGUCCUCACUGAGAAGUUUGGCAAAAGAGCUGGUAACAUGAAGAUGGCAAGCUUAGCUACUUACUUUGGGCUUGGGCAACAAAAACACAGGAGCCUGGAUGAUGUUCGUAUGAAUUUAGAGGUUCUAAAACAUUGUGCAACUGUGCUAUUUUUGGAGUCAAGCCUCCCAAGCAUAUUGAAUGGGAGUUGGCACAGUCCCUCAACAAUAACGACAAGAAGUAGAAGCAGUGCAGGGAAAUUGACAUGCAAGGAAGAAACCAGCAGAAAAUCACCAACUUAUCAAAGAACAGUUCCCUACACAAGGGAAAGUUUGGGAAAGAUGACAGAAAGAGUGAAGAAUCUAUUGUGUAAAGCACAAGGAAGCCAGCCUAUCAACAACUUGCUCAAGCAUUCUCAUUCAGUGCUCAGAUGAAUCAAAAUUUCACAUUAUUGCUGAUCUGGAAGAACAAAGAUUAAAUGAUGAUAUCCCUUCCAUCUUCAAUGAGGGAAUAUUAGCAUGAAGCAUAAAAGGGAGAGCAUAGGGGAACAAAAGGAGCAUAAAAUGGGCCAAUAACAGACAAAACGGGCUAAUUGAAAGUCCAUAAGGCCAAGACGAAUUCCACAUGGGCUGAGCACACGCUCGUGUGAUCCACAUGGGCUGGCCACAUGCCCAUGUGGUGGCCCGUGUCGAUAUCGCUCCCUAUUUCCCAAAUACGCGAAAAAAGCAAAAUUUUAGGGUUUUUGAGCAUUC